AGUGAACGCUGGCGGUAGGCCUAACACAUGCAAGUCGAACGGCAGCACAGUAAGAGCUUGCUCUUACGGGUGGCGAGUGGCGGACGGGUGAGGAAUGCAUCGGAAUCUACUUUUUCGUGGGGGAUAACGUAGGGAAACUUACGCUAAUACCGCAUACGACCUACGGGUGAAAGCAGGGGAUCUUCGGACCUUGCGCGAUUGAAUGAGCCGAUGUCGGAUUAGCUAGUUGGCGGGGUAAAGGCCCACCAAGGCGACGAUCCGUAGCUGGUCUGAGAGGAUGAUCAGCCAUACUGGAACUGAGACACGGUCCAGACUCCUACGGGAGGCAGCAGUGGGGAAUAUUGGACAAUGGGCGCAAGCCUGAUCCAGCCAUACCGCGUGGGUGAAGAAGGCCUUCGGGUUGUAAAGCCCUUUUGUUGGGAAAGAAAAGCAGCAGGUUAAUACCCCGCUGUUCUGACGGUACCCAAAGAAUAAGCACCGGCUAACUUCGUG
rnacentral:rRNA from 1 species